UAACCUGCCUCUUAGCGGGGGAUAACUAUUGGAAACGAUAGCUAAUACCGCAUAAAAGUCGAUAUCGCAUGAUAUUGAUUUGAAAGGUGCAAAUGCAUCAUUAAGAGAUGGACCUGCGUUGUAUUAGCUAGUUGGUGAGGUAACGGCUCACCAAGGCGACGAUACAUAGCCGACCUGAGAGGGUGAUCGGCCACACUGGGACUGAGACACGGCCCAG
rnacentral:rRNA from 1 species